rnacentral:sRNA from 1 species
GCCAGGUAUAGGAUCGCAUACCUAUAGUCCUAGCUACUUGGCAGGCUAAGGCAAGAGAAUCACUACAGCCCAGGAGUUUGGUACUGAGUCAGCCAUCCUGGGCAAUAUAGAGAUACCCUGUCUCUU